CCUACGGGUGGCAGCAGUGAGGAAUAUUGGUCAAUGGACGAGAGUCUGAACCAGCCAAGUAGCGUGAGGGAUGACGGUCCUAUGGGUUGUAAACUUCUUUUAUAGGGGAGUAAAAGGCUCCACGAGUGGCGUUUUGAGAGUCCCCGAUGAAAAAGCAUCGGCUAACUCCGUGCCAGCAGCCGCGGUAAUACGGAGGAUGCGAGCGUUAUCCGGAUUUAUUGGGUUAAAAGGGUGCGAAGGCGGAUGAUAAAGUCAGCGGUAAAAUUUAGAGGCUCAACCUCAUCGAGCCGUUGAAACUGGUAUUCUUGAGUGAGGGAGAAGUAUGCGGAAUGCGUGGUGUAGCGGUGAAAUGCAUAGAUAUCACGCAGAACUCCGAUUGCGAAGGCAGCAUACCGGCGCUCAACUGACGCUCAUGCACGAAAGUGUGGGUAUCGAACAGGAUUAGAUACCCUUGUAGUC
rnacentral:rRNA from 1 species